GAAGCCAAGAGAAUCUGGCUUUAAGUAAAACAGAACAGUUAGAGUGAGCAUAAUCUACAGCAAAAGUGUAAGGAACGUCAUAUAGCCAGAUCACAAUGGACUGUAAAGCUAUUUUCAUUGUUAUCCCUCUCUUUCUGCUAUUUUUCACAACUGCACAAGGUGCAUCUGUGGUAAGGGUAUUAGUGAAUCCACGCUGUAAAUGCAUCAAUAAUACUUCUCGUAUGAUCAAUCCAAAGCUAAUGAAGGAUAUUGAUAUAGUUCCAGCUUCUUCCCAUUGUCCACAUGUAGAAGUGAUAGUCACACUUAAAAGUGAGCGAAGAGUUUGUCUGGACCACACUGCUACCUGGGUGAGGAAACUAGUUGACAGGCUUUUGCAGACACAAUGAUCAAAUUUUCUGAGUGAAAAUGGGUCAGGAAAAGUACAUCACAACUUGCAAGAAUCUGAAAAGCAACCUCUCACAUCCUCUGAACAAUCUUUUAAACUAUUUCCAGCACAACUGGAACUUGACAUAGGUCAAGAAGGACAUUGGGUAUGGAAAAACUAAUCAGUAGCUGAAUUGACUAUUUAAUUCAAUUUUAAAAUUUUAUUACUGUCACACAUUUGUUGCCAGGUUUUCUUAACAUGAUGCCCACAAACAGUAUAGAAAAAUCUAAUUGUUAGAAAAGAAAUUUAUGAGUAUUGCUUUAUCCAUUAUUACUUAAACUGAUAAUACUGUUUGAUCAUACUGUAAUUAUUAUAUACAUCUACAUUUCAAGUCUGUCGUUUUAUAUGCGCUCAAUUCUCAUUGCUAAAUUCAAAUACUCUGAUGACAAUUACUAAAAUACUUGUUCUAAAUGAUCUUGUUUCAAAAAGAGCAAGAAAGAUACACGAGACAGAACAAAUGAUUUUGCUGUAACCAGCUUUGCCACUGCUUAAGAUUAAAUGGAGUGAUUCAAAAUUCAACCACUUGGAAGUAGCUAAACCUAAGUUCAUUUCCAUGGUUAGGUCAUUUCAUCGACAAUCACUGGGUAUUUACCAAGUAGAAAUAUCAUGGUCCCGAUCUUCUGGUUUCUGGGUCACUGGAGAAUGGGCACAUGACCCAUGAAGCUUGCUGAUGCCCUGUGGAAGUCUUCAUGCACUGGCCUCCAUGCAAAUUGCUCAGGAAGCUGAAAAUCCUGUCUUCGAGAUCUUCAACUAAAUCUGUUACUCUGAACUAGAGUUUAACAUUUCAGACAGUUACAUGAUACUGGUUUGGAUAAUUAUUCAGGGAGUGUCAGACAGAAUAAAACCCAGUCUAACUCCUUCAUAAUUAUAGAUAGACCCCUACAAUUGCUCACACUGACCAACCCCUAACACUCAUCUUCAUGUCUCAGCAACACCCAGAUACUUCCCCUGAUGCACUUACCAACCCACCUGACUCAACUACCAUGCAACCAUCUAACUAAAUCAACCCCCAACAAAACCGGACUAGCUCCAACACCCUGAUUACCCCAUUGGAUUAACCUUGCUAAUCCCAACCUGACUACCCCUCAUGAUCCAACCCAAGCUAUCUCCAACACUCAUUCAUUCACCUACCUACUACCCUACACAGCUAACAGCUGUCACUCUACCCACCCAUGUAUGCAUCUAUCACUCUGCUACCUACCAUUCUGCUACCUGCCACCUUAGCAACCCAUCUUCCCACUUAACUGACCCACAUUUUCAUCCAUCCUAUCACCCUACCCAUUCCUUCAUUUAUCCACUUAUCCAUUUACUCUUUUACUGAUAUUCACACUAGACAUUUAAAUUUUACCACAUUUCAACCAGUACUGUAAAAACAGGGGCAUAGCUUGUCUUCCACUAACUCUACUGUGACCUGAUAGAGCUCUCCAAGUGAGGCUACGCUCCACAUUAUUGGUAAAGCUGUGUUCAGAAGACUAAACAAGCAAUGUGGAGCAGUGUUGACUUGGUCACAUUUCAAGCAGAGCAGCAAUCUGUGAUUGCCGCUCCUCGAAAGAUCCAGGCCCAUGUGUAACUGAGCUGUGCAGCUUUUCUGGCCUAACAGAACUGUAUCAAUGGGAAUUGCCAACAAACAUUCAGCUCAGGUGUUUAUCUGAGGCAUAAAACAAGUGAUUUCUACCCUUGCUAUUCAUCUCUUACUGCUACAAACCCACCCAUAACACUUAUACUCGUAGGAAAUUUAAAGUAAUGCUCCCUGAGUUGAUUCAAUCUGAAGGAAGUGAAUGUGGACAUUCCCCUGAGUGGGGGCAUGGUGGCAAAAUUGAAAAUUAGAUGCAUCAUUACAGUUUGUGGUACCAGUUGUAUUCAUGACACAGUCUAUUCUGGAUAAACAUGAUUAAAUUCAAAAGUCAGUGUUUUAUUACAUGUACUGAAUACAUACUAGAGUAAACUGGGAUGAAUGAUAAAUCAAGUAAAAUGAGGAACAACAUCACACCCUCAUGAUUUAUAUGAAAUAUAAUUUCUCCUUGUGUGAUUCUGACAGAAUCUUCCAAUCUGAACUAGGGAUAUGACAUUAGACAUAUAUCAAAGGGAAUGGAAAUCAUUAUCUGUCUACUUCCUGAUGUGAGUCUCCCAGAUAUUGAACCACAAAGGAUGUUGAAAAAUAUCUGCUUCAAAUGCUUUAAGUUCACUUUUUAUCAACGUGAAUUAUCCAUGUAGUACAAUUCUAUGUGGUCAAAUAUUCAUGUAAAAAUCAAUAAAGUUGUAAUGAAUGGUGAGCAAA